GAACUUCCCUCUUCUGCUAGGACCGAGGUGGAGAUGGAGUCUUGUCGCAGUGAGAAAAAAAAAUUCAAUACUCAGAUUCUUCCUGAUGGCCUGCACUCCUGUCCAAGAAAAUCUCAGGCUAAAAACCAUAUAACCAAUGAGAUAUGAUCGCCAGCGUUUGGCGCUGAGAUUCUUCAGGACAUGGCCUUGAUGCCAUGAAGAUGCCCAUCACUGACAGGCUUUCCUGUGUAAACCAUCAUAUUUAUCCAAAUGAGGAUCUCAGGGAUCCCCAGCUGAGGCAUGAAGAAGACAUCAGUGGCUGUAUUCACAAAACAUCUGAAGGCUAAAAGUAGCUCCUAAAUUGUCGAUUUAGGAGAAACUCUUAAAAAUAAUUGGCGCGUCAGUCCUAAUUUUAGGAGUCCUAAAUUUUUG